UGAAGACGGGAGUUCAAGUCCCUCUAGAGAAUCAGUCUUGUAUUUUCAGUGCUUUCCCUACCAAGUAACUGUCAAAUCACAAUUUUCUUUACACAAAUAUGGGAAUGAUAGCCAAAAAUAUUAUUAAAAUGAAUAGUUUUAUGUAAAACAGUAUCAAAAUUUUCCACCG